AGACCCGAAACCCGGUGAUCUAGCCAUGGGCAGGUUGAAGGUUGGGUAACACUAACUGGAGGACCGAACCGACUAAUGUUGAAAAAUUAGCGGAUGACCUGUGGCUGGGGGUGAAAGGCCAAUCAAACCGGGAGAUAGCUGGUUCUCCCCGAAAGCUAUUUAGGUAGCGCCUCGUGAAUUCAUCUCCGGGGGUAGAGCACUGUUUCGGCUAGGGGGCCAUCCCGGCUUACCAACCCGAUGCAAACUGCGAAUACCGGAGAAUGUUAUCACGGGAGACACACGGCGGGUGCUAACGUCCGUCGUGAAGAGGGAAACAACCCAGACCGCCAGCUAAGGUCCCAAAGUCAUGGUUAAGUGGGAAACGAUGUGGGAAGGCCCAGACAGCCAGGAUGUUGGCUUAGAAGCAGCCAUCAUUUAAAGAAAGCGUAAUAGCUCACUGGUCGAGUCGGCCUGCGCGGAAGAUGUAACGGGGCUAAACCAUGCACCGAAGCUGCGGCAGCGAACGUAUCACCCAAGACAACUUUGCGGAGUUGACGAUUGACGGAGCGAAGCGACGUCAAAGCGUUCAUUAAAGUCGAGUUGGCUUAGGGAUACGUUCGUUGGGUAGGGGAGCGUUCUGUAAGCCUGUGAAGGUAUGCUGUGAGGCAUGCUGGAGGUAUCAGAAGUGCGAAUGCUGACAUAAGUA
rnacentral:rRNA from 1 species